rnacentral:rRNA from 1 species
CUAUGUGUUGUUGGGUAGGGGAGCGUUCUGUAAGCCUGUGAAGGUGUACUGUGAGGUAUGCUGGAGGUAUCAGAAGUGCGAAUGCUGACAUAAGUAACGAUAAAGCGGGUGAAAAGCCCGCUCGCCGGAAGACCAAGGGUUCCUGUCCAACGUUAAUCGGGGCAGGGUGAGUCGACCCCUAAGGCGAGGCCGAAAGGCGUAGUCGAUGGGAAACAGGUUAAUAUUCCUGUACUUGGUGUUACUGCGAAGGGGGGACGGAGAAGGCUAUGUUGGCCGGGCGACGGUUGUCCCGGUUUAAGCGUGUAGGCUGGUUUUCCAGGCAAAUCCGGAAAAUCAAGGCUGAGGCGUGAUGACGAGGCACUACGGUGCUGAAGCAACAAAUGCCCUGCUUCCAGGAAAAGCCUCUAAGCAUCAGGUAACAUCAAAUCGUACCCCAAACCGACACAGGUGGUCAGGUAGAGAAUACCAAGGCGCUUGAGAGAACUCGGGUGAAGGAACUAGGCAAAAUGGUGCCGUAACUUCGGGAGAAGGCACGCUGAUAUGUAGGUGAAGUCCCUCGCGGAUGGAGCUGAAAUCAGUCGAAGAUACCAGCUGGCUGCAACUGUUUAUUAAAAACACAGCACUGUGCAAACACGAAAGUGGACGUAUACGGUGUGACGCCUGCCCGGUGCCGGAAGGUUAAUUGAUGGGGU